GACCCCUAGCCAUAAUAUGAUUUAUCUCUACAUUAGCAGAAACUAAUGGAGCCCCUUUUGACCUAACAGAAGGAGAAUCAGUUAGUCUCAGGUUUCAACGUCAAAUAUACCGCAGGUCCAUUUGCCCUCUUCUUCAUAGCAGAAUACAUGAAUAUUAUCGUAAUAAAUGCCCUAACUACUACAAUUUUUCUAGGAACAUUACACACUAUAUAUUCACCAGAACUCUAUGCUACAUAUUUCAUUACCAAGACCCUCCUCUUAACCUCCCUAUUUUUAUGAAUUCAAACAGCAUAUCCCCGUUUCGGCUACAAUCAACUCACACACCUCCUAUGAAAAAAUUUUCUACUACUUACACUAGCAUUCUGUAUAUGACAUAUCUCAAUACCCAUCCUAAUCUCCAGCAUCCCACCUCAAA
rnacentral:lncRNA from 1 species